AGAAAUACGAAGUGAAGGAGAAGGAGUUCUUAAUUGUGUGUUGUUGGCUGCGGACAGCUGUGUCACAGAUGGUACCUUAAAGACUCAGAAUUUUUUUUCAAACUGCCUGGAGAUGCUUCUGUGGAAAAUCACUUUACUGGGCCCUCUGACAGUUUUCUGUGGCAGUUCACAACUGCACCUCUCUUUGGAACUUUCAGUCGUGGCGGUCUUUCAGGUUUUCACAAGAAGUGUCUUUUCAGAAUCGAGCAGACGAAUCUGAAAGGGUAAGGUGGAUUCGUGAUGGCUGCUGUUGUACCCCAGACUUUCUGUGACAUCAUCCGGAUGGAAGGAGUUGAACACACCUGCUGCAAAUGUAGCACAUGGCUCAACAACCCCCAUUACACAGUCCAAGGAACAAGCAGAGAUGGCUGAAGGUG